GUGAUGAGAGCACAAAAGUGCAAUCGUCAUACCAUUUUAAUUAGUAUUAUAGCUAAUCAUUAAUAAUAAAAUUAACUAAUUAACGUUGUAUUUGUGUUUGAGUGCAAGUAAUCCAAGAAACCCAAUAACAUUGGGUUUGAGCCCAAUGCCCGGCAGCCCGAGCUCAAGUCAAGCCAACAUCUUCACGUGAUGGAGCUCAGUCCACGAUGCAGCCAGCUUUCCAAAAUCACCUUCCAUCCACGCGCUCGUUCCAUGCAUGUGGCUUCCAGAUGCAACAUCCCAAGCCGUCCGUGAGGAGUUUUCCCACCGCGUGCCAGAUCCCAUUCCAUGCGUAGCACCAUAACCCAUCUGCGAAGCCAAGUCCCAUCUAGUCGUUUCUGUGCAUCCCCUGCCUCUUGAUUCUCCUCCUGAAAUCCCUGCAUCGCGUCCCCCUCUUGGCCCAAAGAAGGAAGUUCACAGCCUCCUCCAAGCGGUCCCACGGCGCCCUCCAAGUGAUCCCGCGGCCAGCCAAUCUUCCAUUCCCGAUUCACUCCAUCCGUGAUCCAACCAGCAUCAAGCCGCCCGUCUCAGCCUCCCAUCUCAUCUUCUUCCGUCCGCACAUCAACCUCCCGUCGAUCCCGCUGUGGCCAACCGUGAAGCCUUCCAGAUUCCAUCCGCGACCCAGCUGCUCGUGAAGCCCCGUGAUCAGUGUCCCUCCUCCGUGAUGCAGCAGCACACGAUCCUCCCGGCUUCUUCCGCUCGACCCAACGCAUUCACAACAACCUCCCACGCCCGAUUGCAAGCCGCAUUCUCCCAGCAUCCCACGCUUCAAGCCUCCGAGUCCGCUUCUUCCACGAGCCCCAGCUUCUUCCUCCCGUCGAUCACGACCCCAGCUCCAUUCCGUCUCCUUCGCGUCUGCAAGCAUCCCGUAAUCCAGCCGCAUCUGCACCAGAUCAGCAUUUCAGCCUCCCACGGCCGAUUUCAAGCCAUGAUCUUAGCGUCCAAAGCUUCCGAAGUCCAUCCGCCUCUUCCGUGAUGCAGCAGUGCACGAGCCUCCGCUCUCCCAGCCUUCCACGAAGCACCAUGUCUCCUCUGCAAUCAAAUCUCCAGCGAUCACGCGCCCGUCCGCAUUCAUCUGCCCCGGAUCAUGCAUCCAUGAGCGAUCACGCGUCCGUUACCCCUCCAUCAGGGGAUUUGUCGCUGUCCAUUAGGGGGUGGGCGACCUAUUUAAGGAGAGGAGGAGGGGAAGAAAAGGGAGCUCUCGGCUGAAGGAGGUGCACUCGGUUGGGGCCAAGAAAUAGGGGAAGAAGGUUCGAUUUGGGAGAGAAGAGAAAGAGAAAAAAAAAGGGAAGAAACAGAGCAUGGCUCUAUUUCGUUUGAAAAGAAGAAUAAAAAAUUAGGAAAAAAAGAAACGGGAGAUUUCUAUUUGAUUUUCUUUUAGUCCUUGUUUUCUUUUUUUUAUUUGUAGAAGAAAAGAAGCAUUAGGCUUCAUCUUCAAUUUUUUUACUUCUGUAAUCAUUUCUAGUUACGAAAUUUUUAAUUUUUAUUUUAUGAAAUCCGUGUCUAAGUUUCAGUUCAAUUUCUGCAAUUUAUUUUAUGCAUUUUGAAAUUCUUAGUUUUAAGAUAACUCUAAAAUUUUUCUUUGCUAUUCGAUCUGCAGUUUUCAUUUAUAUUAUGUCUUUAGGAAUCGAUCCCUACUCUGCAUUAGAAUUCAAUUGCAAGUUUUCUUUCUCUCCUUUGUUUAUUUUCAAAUAGAAAACAUUCUCUGAUAGACUAGAGAAUCAUUCCACAUCCCCGAAGUAAUGUUUUUUUCUUUUAUCAUUCAAAAAUCGAUUUCGAAUCCGAGUGAACGUUUUAAUUUUUAUGCAACUCCAAUCGCCUCCCUGUGGAUCAACCUCUUACGACCACUAUUCUUCGAGUAGAAAAUGUAAGAGUAAAAUUAAAUUAAACUUUGUUUGUCAAUUCUAACAACGAUCUGUUUAGCAUAUUUUUAGGUAAACAUGAAUCGGACAACAGGCUCCAUGAGUUAUGCGAGGCGUAGAGCUGAAUUCGUAAGUUUUUUUGAAACUCUUUAAAUUUAUCUUAAAUUAUUCUAUCAUAUAGCAUGUAUACUCUUUAAAUAUAAUUUUUGUUGUAGAUGGAUGAUAAUGGGAGGGAGCCUGGUAGGGUGGAGUUUUAUAAGAUGACUCACACCCACCGAGAUGGCAGCUUUGUUCGGAAGGAGUCAAGAGAUAUAGUUAUAUGUAUUCAUCUUUGACUUGUGUUGUAUUUUUUUUGUUUUAUUAUUGGCAUAUAUUAAUUUAACUUUUUCUUUUGAGAGAUAUAGGAUAAGACAACUGAUGAUCCAAAGAUUGAUUCAUAGAUUGAUUUUGAUGAUCACAAAAUNNNNNNNNNNNNNNNNNNNNCAACAACAACAAAUCUUAUUUCAGAGCGCAUUGGGAGUCAUCAUCAUCCGACGCGACCAGUCAUAUUGAAGCUCAAGUGCUCGCUAAAUUGAUGGGCCCAAAGCGUUAUAGUCGAGUGAGGGGUUACGGCGUUGGAGUUAUCCUCACUUAGUUUUCUUCAGUGGGCACGUAUACAAGAAAUACCAGAGAAGGUAGUAACACUGCAGAAGUUUGUCAUCUUCAAGCAACUAUUAAAGAGCUAAAGCAGAACCAAGCAAAUUUGCAGUCUCAACUUGCGAAUAUUUCAUCUAUGUUACAACGAUUUCUUCCUUCUCAAGUAAAUAACUAUAUAUAUUUGAAUACUUUACAUAUUAUCAAUUAUAAUAUAUGAGUUCAUGUAUCACAUUAUUCCUAACUUCUAAGAUUUCUUCUUUUUUUUUUUGCAGAUUUCUGAUACUUCAAACGCUCGUAGAGAUGAUGAUGAUGGAGCUGAAUCCCGUCCUUGAUGCCUUCUAGACUAUUUUUUAUGAGUUUGAUAUGUAUAUGUUUCUUAUUUUUCAUAGUACAUUGUAAUUCUAAACUUAUUAAGCAAAUUUUUAAUCAAAUAUGACAAUAUUCAUAUUUCGAAUGAUCUGAAUGUUUGUGUCAAUGUAUCAAUGUAAUACAGGUUUAUAUUGUUAUAAUGCAUGUUUUAUAAUGUGUGUUUUAUAAUAUGAAUUGGUACUUUUAUUUUUUAAAAAAAUACAAUUUCUGAUGCUUUUAAGCGUCAGUAAAAGACGUCGUGGCACAGCCCCGGCACGCUUAUACCGAUGCUUCAAACGCUUACGUUUGCGACAGAAAAUGCGGAUCUCCUGAUGCUUCAAAGCGUCGGCAAUUUUCGACGCUUUAAAGUGUCAGGAAAAAUCGGAAGAAAACCGUGAGGAAUUUGUCCGUCGGGUUAUCGCCGACGCUUUUUAAGCGUUGGCAAAUUCCGAUUUUUGCCAACGCUUUUGUCCUGAAUCGGCAAAAAGUUUUGCCAUUCUGGUAUCGCCGACGCUUUGGCGACGUUUCGCGUUGCAUCGGCGGUACUUUAGCCUAUGCUUAUAACGUCGCUAAAGGUCCCAAGAAGCGUCGGGAUAAGUUGGUUUUCCUAUAGUGGCAGGCUGUUGUUUUGUUCUUUCCCUUCGUCCGCAAAACUUCUCAUGCAGAGACCACACGUCGGGCCUAGGUCCACAAAGCUUUAGCCAUUUCAGGACAACCAACCAUGGACCAAGAGCCAACCAUGAGAGAGGACGGGACAGGUUUGGUAGGACGUGGGGCCAUCGUUCCCUUUUGUCACGCGAGGGUGUGCAACCGGGACGGCAUCAUACGACGGUUGGGGGGGGGGGGGGGGGGGUAUACAUGCCCCUCGUAAUUUUACGACGGUCGUAAAAUUCGUAAAUACCCUCAUAAUUUAAGUAUAAUUUUUUUAACACCGUUAGAACAACCAUUGUAUUAUGGGUAUUUGUACAAUAAUAGAGUUUUACGAGGGUAUACAUGCAAAUAUCAAUUUUGGAAAGGUAUUCACGUCCGAUAUUAGAAGGGUAUCCAUGCAAAAAAUCCUUUCAAUUAUUGAGUAUUUUAUAUUAGUUUAUUUAAAUAAUUGAUUAAAAUUAUUUUGAGACUAUUAUAUCUAUUAUUUAAUGUUGUUUGAAAUGCUGGAUAUUGAAAUAUUCUUAUUGCUUAUCAAUUAUAAAGGAUAUAUAUCAAAUUGAUUUGGUAGUCACCAAAGUGGCCCAAUUACCUUGAUAUUAUGGUGGAGUUGAUUAAGCAUUACGGUUUGCCAUCAUAAGAUGAUAAAUUAGCCCAAAGGCAAUUUAUUAAAGAUGGAAGGUUACUAUAUCGUAUUGUUCAUUAUACCUAAAGGUAGAUGUCAAUUCAAUAUUAGUAAUAUGAAGGCAAUUUAAGUGAAUAAAGGAACAUCACUUAUUGAGUGAAUCACUAGCAUGUCAUUAUCCUAACCCAAAGGUAGGAUAUGAUGAUGCACUAGAUCAUUCAUCAAACUUAUUAAGUGAAUCACUAGCAUGUUAUAAUCUCUUACCCAAAGGUGGGAUGUGGCGAUGCAAUAGAUUGCUUAUACGAUUGCUUAUAGAGUGAAUCGAUCGAAUGUCAUUUUUUUGACCCAAAGGUGGGAUGUGAUGAUGCACUAGAUUGCUCAAUAGUGUUUUAUAUGUAAUAAGUCUGAAUUAAGGAUAACUUAUAGCAUGGAUUUGUGUGAUUUCAUUGUGGCUCAAGCACUUCCAAGAAACAUGUCCGACAUUCCAGAAUUGAAUGGUUCCAAUUUUUCUGAAUGGCAUGAGCAAAUACUAAUUACAUUGGGAAGUUUAGAUUUGGACAUGUGCCUACGAAUUGUUGAGCCUACCAAACCCACUACAGAAAGUUCUCCUAAAGAGAAAACUCUUUAUGAAAUUAGGAGCGUUCCAAGCGCCCAAGCCUUAUGAUCAUGAAGAGCAAAAUUACGAAGAAUAUUCACAAAUCAGUUUCUACUAACACCAAGGCUCGUAAAUUCUUGACAUUUAUUGAGCAACAAUUUAAAGCUUCUAACAAAGCGGUUGUAGGGACUCUUAUGGCCACCUUAACAACUAAAAGGUAUGAUGGGUUAAGUGGUGUGCGUGCACACAUUAUGAAAAUGCAUGACUUGGCUGAACAACUUAGGCCCUGUUUAGGGGAGUUUUUGGAGGGCCAAAAAGCACUUUCUGGCCUUCCAAAAGUACUUUCAGAUAAAAAAUGGUAUUUGGUAAAAUUUUCGAAAAGCUGUUUCAGCUUUUGCGGGAAGCUGAAAACAGCUUUUGGGGAGAAGCUCCAAUUUGGAGCUUUUCAAAAAUGCUGUUUUCAGCUUUGUUGGGAAGCUAUUUUUUGGACCAAAAUAUCCCAUUUAAAUCUUACUUUUUUCCCCUAAAACUCUCAUCCCGCCUCUUCCUCUCUCACCCAUCCCCUUCCCCUCUCUCUCUAUCUUCUUCUUCCUCUCAACGCCGCCGUCACUGUUCCUUCUUCCUCUUCUUUUUUUGUUUUUUUUUUUGUUUGUUUUGGGAGCUCGUGGUUACCCAUGGUGGUAGCCACCAUGCCGGCUACCACCCAUGGCCGGCGACCCCUAUAUAUUUCAAUGAAAUAAAAUAAUAAAUAAAUAUAACUAAAUAAAAUAAAUUAAAAAACUAAUGAGUGAGUGGAAAAUAAUCUGAUCUAAAUAAAUAAUAAAUAAUAUUAGUAAUUAUUUAACCAAUUUUGUCACCUAGCUAGAAAAUUUAUUAGAGAGAUAAAUGGUUAUUAGAAGGAUGAAAAAUUAAUUUACACUAAUAAUUAUAAUAUUUUAUAUAUUUAUUAUUGUAUUAUACUAUAAAUAUAAUAUUAUAUUACAUUACAUCAUAAUAUAUUUAUAUUGAUAUGUUAUGUUAAAUAAUUUAAUAUUAUAUUAAAUUAUUAUUCUAUAAUACAUAAUGUUAUAGUACUAUAUUAUAAUAAUAUUAUAUUACAUUACAUUAAUAUUAUACUAUAUCAUAUAUUUAUGUAUUAAUAUAUAUUAUAUUUUAUUAUGCUCUGUUGUAUAAUACUGGUAAUGUCCUUUAUGGUCAUUUUGUCACACAAAAGUACUUUCUCAGUUUGUUUACCAAACACAUGUUAAAGUACCACAGCACUUUAGAAAUGUAGUUACCAAACAGCAAACAGCUUUUUAUAAACGCUCUGCUUCAGACAGCUCUACUUCCAACAGCUCUACGUUCAAAAUCUCUACUACUAACAGCUCUCCCAAACAUGGCCUUAAUUUAAUGAAUAUGUACUAUUUCAGAGCCCUUUUUGGUGCAAUUCGUUCUCAACUCUCUUCCUCUGCAGUUUGGUCCAUUUAAGUUCAAUUAUAGUAGACAAAGGGUAAGUGGACCAUGAAUGAACUUAAACUGUGAUGUGUGUGCAAGGGGAAGAGAGAUUACAAAGAGAAAGACUGCAAUCUGUCCACAUCAUGUCACAAGGUCAUAAAGGUAAAUGACAUGGAAAAGGAAAAUCUAAAAGAAAAGAGCCACCAAAAAAUGAUACACAGUCUACUGCAUCUAACAGUGCAGAUAAGAAAACUGUGGUAUGUUUCUUCUAUAAAAAAAAGGGACAUAUGAAUAAGGAUUAUCGAAAGCAUAAGGCAUGACUUGAAGAGAGGUAAUUUUCUUUCAUUAGUGUGUUUUGAAGCCAAUUUAACUGACAUACCUUCUAAUACUUAGUGGUUAGAUUUUGGUACCACAAUUCAUGUGUGUAAUCCUAUGCAGGAAUUUCUGACAACCCACAGGCCACACAGAAAUGAGAAAACCAUUUUUACGGGGAAUAAAUUUGAAGCUGAAAUAAAUGCUAUUGGAACCUACAUACUUGUUUCUGAUUCUAGUUUUUGUUUAGAUUUACCAAAGACAUUAUGUUCCUUCUAUCUCCAAAAACAUAAAUUCCUUGUCUCGCCUUGAUGUAGAAGGACAUACUUUUGAAUUCAAGAAUAAAACCUUCUCUAUCAUGAAAAACAAUGUUUCUGUUGGUAGUGAAAUUUUAUGUGAUGGUUUGUACAAAAUAAACCUCGAUACAUUAUUUUCUCAUUCGCUUCUCACCCUGCAUGUAAAUAUGAAUGUUGGCACCAAGCGUAGUCAUGAAACUGAAACUUCAUUGAGGUUGUGACAUAAAAGGUUAGGUCACAUCUCGAAAGAGAGGCUUGAAAGAUUAGUAAAGGAUGGAGUUUUACAAACUCUUCACUUUACGGACUUCAGUAUUUGUAUAGAUUGCAUUAAGGAAAAGCAAACUAAAAGUACCAAGAAAAAUGCCACAAGAAGUUCGAUACUACUUGAAGUGAUACAUAUAGAUAUAUGUGGACCAUGUUCUCCUUAAUCCAUACCCGGAGACAAAUAUUCCAUCACCUUUAUUGAUGACUUCUCACGUUAUUGUUAUGUUUAUCUAAUUAAGAAAAAAUCUCAAGUCUUGGAUGCUUUUAAGGUUUUCAAAGCAGAGGUUAAGAAAUAACUAGAUAAACAAAUAAAAGUUGUGAGAUCAGAUAGAGGUCAUGAAUAAUAUAAAAAAUAUGAUGAGAAUGGUCGCAACAUGGGACCAUUUGCUAGAUUUCUUUAGGAACAUGGUAUCGUGGCUCAAUAUACAAUGUCUGAAAUGCCUCAGCAGAAUAGUGUAGCUGAAAGGCAUAGUCGUACCAUAUUGGAUAUGACAAGAUAUAUGAUUAGUGACUACAUUACCUGAAUUUUUGUGGGGUAAAGCCAUAAAGACUGCGAUGUAUAUUUUAAACCGGAUUCCUACUAAGGUUGUUCCCACAACCCCUUAUGUAUUUUAGGUGGGAAGGAAACCGAGUUUAAACCAUAUACAUAUAUGAGGUUGUCCAAGCCGAAACAAGGCUUUACAGUCCACAUGAAAGAAAAUAUACUGCCACAAUUUAAAGACCAAAAUAACUCAUUAGAACAUCUUUAUCACAAAGUAGACCAUCAGUAGACAGAAUAUAGAUAAAAAUAAUUUACACUUUCAGAAAAAAGAUCUUGUAACAACAAAACAAUCAACACCACUUUUGUGAAACCCAGUGGACUAAGUCUGGUCCAUAUGACCGGCCCAGCCCAAAGGCAAUAGGAAGGAAGACUCUGGCUGGAGUCUUCUUCCUCCUCUCCGAUCGCAAUGAUGAUUCCUCUCCUAUUGUGUUGAAGAUGAAGGGUUCAUCGCAAUCAUGAUACCGUCAGAUAAGGCUAGGAAAAAUUUAUUUAUAGAGUUCCUCCUCCUUCCUUCGAGUUCAUCGAGAUCGAGCUGCCGACUAGAAGUUUCUCCUCCAUUCGUCUUCCUCAACUUGUCGCCGGAAGGGGACGCUGGACCACCUCGCCGGACCGAGGCUUGGAUCUAUUAGUUGGAUCGCAUUUGCAAAGUAAGUAAUGAUCUACCUUUUCUAGAUUUUUUUUAUUUAUAUAAUAUUAUUUUUACAUCGAAUAAAUUGUUAAUGGAUUUAUAUGUGAUUUAUGAAUUUUUCGAGAUGGUGAUUUGAAUGAAAUAUAGGUAUGUGAAUUGGAGUAAUAUUUUUUGGACUAUUAUUACAUUUACGGUUCUUGCAUCAUAUAUGCAGAUUUUGAUCAGAUUAUGAUACAUUUAUUAUUUUACAAAAAGAACUUUGAUGUAUAUCAGAUUUGAAACUCUCAAUCUGACUAUGUUCUUUCUAGAUCCUACCUAUUAGUGGUUAUGCAUUAGCAAUGCUAGCCCCACACAGGAUAUAAAUGUGGUAUUCUUGUCCACUCCGCAAGGCAUAAGUGCGGUAUUCUGGCUCACUCCGCAGGGUAUAAUGCGGCAUUUUGGCCUCCUCUGCAGGAUAUAAGUGCGGUCCAGUUUCUAGCCUAGCCACAAGAUAUAAGUGUGGCCAUAGUUAAAGACUGUUGAGUUAAAUAUGAUAAAUUUCGAAUCAAAUUUAUGAUUAUGUAUACGGAUAUUUGAAAGAUACGGAUUUCAAUAGAUUUGUGUUUUGAAACUAAAUUGAUUAUAUCUUUAUAUUGAUUUAUCGUAAUUUGUAUUUAUAUUUUAUAUUAUUAUUGAAUUGUCUAGUUAUGGUAUUCAUAACUUACUAGGCUAUCUAACUAAUUAUACGGUUUUCUACUAUUUUUAUAGAUCCAAAGAAUUAGCUCAAUCGAAAUUUUACAACAUGGAAGAGUGACUAGAAGAAUUGUGGCACGAAUUAUCUUAACUUAAAAUUUAUUUAAAUUGAUGCAUUACCUUAGACUAAUAUUGAAAUUGUGAGACAUUGUAGGUUGAGUUAGUUGAUGAAAAAAAGAUUGCAUAUUAUUGAUUAAAUUAUUUUUACCGCCUGAUUUUGAUAUCAUGAUGAGAUGUCUUACAUAUUUCGUGAGGAGAAUUCACUACGAGUGUGCGGCUUGGAUCGGAAGCGUGACACCUUAUUAAAUAAAAGCCAUAAGCGCAAUGGCCAGCAACAUGAUCUGAUAUAUAUUAAAAGAAAACUCUGACGUUUCCUUUCAGGAAUUCUAUUUGAACCAUAAUCAAUAAAAAAAAAAAGAUCGACUAUUCUCUGUACAGCUUACAAUCUCAAAAAGCAUUGUUUUUUUCUUUUUAUAGCCAUAGGGAAAGAUACAAUGUUCAGAUUAUGAAAGGCUUCACAUGUAACAAAACCAAAAAGGCCCCAAAUGUACAAGAUGUGAGACACGGUACCUAAACCCCUACUACAUCAGCAGCACAAACCCAAAACAAAGAGUGACCACAGCAGAUACUGGGAGGAGGUCCUUCUCUAGUAGCAAACCAGGGAACUACCUUACAUGUACAGAGGUCAGAACAAACGCACACCUGAACCUAGGUCCAGCAGAAGCCCAAAAUAAAGCAAAAAACACAUCAGAAAUGGACGAGAUGCUACUCUAGCAGCAAAUUAGGGAACAGCUCUACAUGUACAGAGGUCGGAACAGACACCUGAAUCAAAGGCCCAGCAGAAACUUGGAUGAAAGAGGAAGAACAGCAACAGAAUCCUCAGUCCAAAUUGAGCUAUAAGCUGGCAGGGCGCCAAGGAAAUUAAGAAGGCAGCAAAAUUACUGACUUAGCAGCAGACGGGGCAGACGGGGCAGGAAAAAUAUCAUCAGAAUGAUGAAUCUCCUCCAAAAUUUUUCUCACUUCAAUCCGUGAAACGAAUUGUUUCACUUAUCGCAGCGACAUCAGUGUGCUCUUCUGAGUGUCCUUCUUGGCUGGCACCUUCGUGGUUCUCUCCAGAUUUUUUUUCACAACCCUUUCGAUCUCAUCAAUAGAGCUCGACAGCUUCUUCUCAUAUUCAAUUGGGUUUGAAUAGUGGGGUGCCUGAUUGGUAAAAACAGUUGCAGUCUGCUGUGGCAGCUCCGAUGAAGAAAGUGAACUGGGAGAGGAGGAUGUCUUCACUGGAUCAUUAAUUGAGGUCGACAACUUCUUUGCAUGCUCAGUAGGGUUCAAAUCAUCAGGUGCUAGAUCGGUAGAAACAAGUAUGGUCUGGGGUGGGUGGGAAGAAGAACAUGUCUGCAGUGGACGUUCAAUUGAGCAUGAUGGCUUCAUCUCAUACUCAGUAGGCUUCGAAUCAUCAGGUGCCAGAUUGCUGGAAACAGAUGUGGUCUGUCGUGAGUGCUCAGCAGGAGGAAGUGAACUGGAAGAGGAAGAUGCCUGCAGUGGAUGCUCAAUUGGAGAAGCAGAGGUAAAACUUGUGAACGUCGGAAUUGAGGAGGUAUCAGAAAUAUCAGACGGGAGGAAUUGGUUGACUGGAGUCUGUUCAGAAACACUUGGUUCAUGUCGAGUCCGUUCAGAAUCACUUGGCUCCUGCAGCAAGGGAUUUGUGGAUAUUGUCGGUUGGGGAGUUGCUUCAGGAUCAACGUCCCUCUGCUGAGCAUUCUGCUGAGCCCGAGCUGCUCGCAAACGGCUCCUUCUCCUCUCCAAAGCCUAAUAAAUUUCAAAAACAAAUCAAAAAUCUAGUCUGUGUAAAAUUCAUCAGGAAGAAAAACGGUGGUAAUAGUGAGACAAUAAAGCUGACAUGAAUUAAAUCAAUAUUUCAUUCAUAGCUCUUCAGCUUCAAUUCUGAAAUUAACAAAAAUAAUACUACAUGUAAGACAUCUCUGCCAAGUAUGUCCGAAAAUGGAUGAUCAAAAAAUUACUUGAAAAAACAGAAUAAAUUUAAUCAAAACAGCAAGUCGAUAAACAUAAUGCCAAGUGAGUACAAGACACCCUUUCAAGAUGAAGAGCCGCAUAUAUUCCUUUAAAACAGAUUGAUCUACUCAAGAACAACAGCUACUUAAAAGAUAUCAAUAAAAUAGUCAAUUAUUAAAAGUGUAUAACAAAAUGAAAUUCUGAAACUCAAAAUGUGAUUACUCACUUCAACUGUAAAGUAGUGCACUUCUAGGAUUCAAAGCAGUUGUCAUAAAGAAGAACUAUGACAUCAAGAAUUAUGUCCAGCUAUUACUUGUCCAAGUUCACUAAUAUACCUAGAAUGCUUCAAGGGCUUUCUGACAAGCUGAUCUAAUUUGUACGAAAACAAUUUUAGAAAAAGGAGAAGAUCAAAGCAAAAUGGACUGCUAACUUUAAUCAAAGCAUACAGAAGUGGAUUAGGAGUCAAAACUAAAAACUUUGGUUCUCAUGCUACUACUUAAUAAAUACAUGUGCAAUUAUUAAAGCAGGACAAGAUAGAAAAAUUCAUACAACAUCAAAUUUGCAGAGGAAUCAUGCAAUUAUUAAAGCAGGACAUGAGAGAGGGCUUUGUGUGGCGUCUUUGUAAGUAGAGAAACAAAUUUUGCUCUUUUCGGCCUUUAUUUUCUUACUAAAACAAGUUUGGUUCUCUCUCCAAUAUUUGUUCUUCCCUUCCACUAUUUUUCCUUGUUUUGAUUAAAAUUUGUUUUGGAUCCUGGACCAGCUCAUUUGAUCUACAUAAAAAAAAAAGUGCCAUUCUACAAUCAGAGGGGUCAAUUCAAUCACCAAUAUAAUGAUCCUAUGGUGCUCUCUAGUCAGUGAAAAACCACCAAUUUUUUCAAUGAACAGAAGAGAAUAUUCCAUAAAGUGGUCGUAAAAUGAAAAUGAAAAAUAAGUUCCCACAUCCCAUGUUGACCCCAAACCAGACAAAUACCAUGUUUCCAUUCGAGGAUCACGGACUACUCAUGUAAUAAUCCUAUCAAAAGAUCAAAGAAAACAACCAAUAGAAAAAAGUCGACUAAAAAUGACAUGUAGUAACAAAGAUGUGUAAAAUUCUGGUUUUCCUACUUCAAACUCAGAUAACACCAAAGUCUCUGUGCAAGCACUCCAGCAUACUCAUUGAAUAAUGUAUUAUAAUAUUUUAAAUGGGAGAAAUUUACUUGCUUCUGUUCCUUCAGAAAAAGUAAAGAGACAUUCCAAAAGUUCUUCACCAUUUGAACAUUAUUCAUCAAUUAAAAAGAAUAAACCACGCAUUGAUCCAUCAUAGCAGUAACAAUAUUCCAAAAUUCAUCAAACUCAAAAUUGAAGAGGCCACAUGCAAUAGACAAUAAUCGGUCCCAAUCUUCCAUCAAGUUGAGAAAACUUUUUUGGAGCAAUAUCAUUUUCAGGGUAUCUUUUCAAUCAAUGACUCAGAUUGUGGAAAAAAAAAACAUACAAGCCACAUAUGUCUAUCAUGAUAUUAAUGAUCUUCACUCAUUCAUGAGACAAAGAUUUGCAUAUUGAUGCAGCUUUAAUUAAUCAACAGAAGUUAAAGAAAUAAACCACAUAGUUCAUGAUGGUAUGCAGUAAAUUAGAACUUCAAGCAUGGCAACAGAGACGACAUAAAUACCAAACCAGUCACUGAAUUGAAUUCAAUAAGAAAACAAGAGGUGCCGAAGAAAAUAGAUAUCCAAGCAAGUCGAUCGUUCUCCUGAUUGCUCUAGAUGUAAGAACACGAGUAGGCAACUAAAUUUCAGACAACUGUCAAGAAAGCAUAUAAAUUCCCAUCUAUUCAUCCGGUUACAGAUUGCACUGCCGAUACUCUGAUCACCGGAUAAAAUAAACAACCCACGGAACAAAAUAAAACUCUAAGUAUGAGCUAGAAGAUUCUAGAAAUGCAUGAAAACGCCACAUUACAGAGCAUCGUCAUCUGAGGAACUAAUAAUUUCCAAGAAGGUAUAUUCUAAUCGUUUAAAAAAUAGAAAUGAAGAGUCCGAAACUUCCAAAGACACAAGCAGCACCCGUCUAUUGAGGAUCUGUUAACCAUUCCAUCGUUUCAAGAAGUAAAUUCCACGAAAACGAUCAUAAAUCUUCUGAAAUGGAAAAAGAAAGCCAGCCGAUCCCAUCAAAAAAGAAAAGACCUCUUACUAUGAAUCAAAGAACAGGCUCAAAAUGGGGCGGGGAGAAAUAUCCUUACGUUGACGAUGAGGGUGAUGUCCCGAAGAGGCGUCCGAGGGUACCAUGUCGGCAGAGGACUCUUCCUCCUCCGAGUCACGGCCCACGGUGGGAUGUUCUCCUUCCCAUCCGCGAACCGCCGGCUCGGGACCCGCCUCGGCCCUGCCUCUGUCACCGGCGACGCUCCCCUCCGGAUAAAGAAGCCACCACCGAUCCCCCCCGCUGCCGCCCCUCCUCCCCGCACAGGCCAGUUCCUCGCCUCCGGCAUCGCGACCUUCGAAUCCCAUUCCAGCACCAAAAGAUCACCCAAAAAAACACAAAGAAUGGCAAAAAAUCCCAAGAAAUGAUCUAAGAAUAUUCCAUUUCUCACCGGAACUAGCUUCGGAUUCUUCUUCCUUCUUCUUCUCUGAUCUCUUCGGCUUCGGAUUCUUCUUGGUCUCAGGGAAGGAAGAGGGGUGUGGGGCUAGCGAUCCACAUGGAGGCGUGGAUCCGCAGCCGACGGGGGAUAAUUCGAAUUUAAAGAAUCGGGGGAGGGGGGGAGUUUGGGGGUUUCGGGCGGUGAGCGGACUCGAAAAGUGUGUUCGGCUAUGAUGGUGGGGUAAUAGUUACCGUGGUGGUGCAUUCCUCCUGGUUUCAAGUUUGAAAAUUUUAGUACCUCUGACGAUCGGAUGGUUGGAUUUGAGCAUGGGUUGAUAAGAACUAACGGAGGACGGUGCCCUACGAAUGUCUUAAAUGGUUCCGACGGUUCAGUUGCGAUUAGUGGUGAUGGGAUCCAGCAAUCGGCAGUCGUGGUCACUCUUUAGUAAUUACAAAAAUAAAAAAAAAUAUUUCCUCAAUAAAAUGCAAAGAAAAGAUGAAACAUUUUUUACCAUCAAAAAAUUGCGGUACAUGUCUCCUCUCCGAUCUCAUAUUUGGAAAGAAUUAAUCAAUUUUUUAGGAGGCAGUAGCCCAAUGAUUGUAAUGUCUUUUUUUUUUUAUAAACAUUGCAUGUCUUAUUCCAAUUGCAAAUAUUUCUAGUGUUCAUACUAACCUUUCUUUACUGUUUUCUUUUAAAAUGUGUGUAACUUUAAACUUGCCUUUCGAUUUUCUUUUAUUUGUAUAUUGUAAUGCAAGUUGCACGUAUUUACUUGUAAUUUGUUUUUUCUUUUUUUCUGUGGUGGCUAAUGAUUAUUAUUGUUGCCUAAUUUUCCCAAAGCAAAAGGACAAGGGCUUUUUUUUUUUUGGUACUUAGGUAGCUCACGUCAGCUUGGCGUGAGUUCUACCCUUGUGUCAAAAGAAAUAAAAGUACACAAAGGUAGGGAGCAGGAAUAGUCCCUAUCCAUAAAACAUCUCCGGAGUGAUGAAUAGCAAAAGAGGCGGUCAGUCUGCUGCCGUAUUCGCCUUCCGAAAUACAUGGGCAACCUGAAAUGAACUACAUCCAGCCACCAAACUCUGGAUGUAUCUGAGUAGAAGAUGGCCAUCGUCCUCUUUUGAAUUUGUACAAAAUGAAUCUCAGCCAUAACCUUCUUUCCUCAAAAACUAUAAUUGAGUUAUUAUCUGUAUAUCUAUAAACUUUCCACAGAUCUUUUUUCCCAAAUCUUACCAUGUAAACUAACAUGUUUAUUUAUAGUGUAAUUUAGGAUAAUCAUCAAACUGAUCAUGCCCUUGAAUUGUAUUUCUAUGCAGGCCUUUCAAAUGCAUCCCUUCUGCCAAGAAAAUAGACUAUAUCGAUGAAAACAAUUCAUUUGAUCUAUUUUUCUGUUUUAAAGAUCUGAACCGGAUGCUACUACCGUACUAUCAAGAGUAUUAGCUGCUAAAGGUAUUUAUCCGCAUCGAAUUUUCCACUGAACUAUGGUAAUUUUACAAAUUUCAUGACCUAGGUUGUAUUUAGUACCUUGAUACAUUAGGUUGUUGACAGGAGUGAAUCAUAUAUUUGGUUCCAUCAUUUAUCCUUCAGUCAUGUGAAUUAUUAGUCCAUGUCAUUCCAGUUCUUUUUGCAACGCAUUUUCCUUUAAAUCCCAAGCUCCAUGUUUUUCCUGGUGUUCAGAGCAGGAUUGAUACUCAUGAUUCUUCAAAGUACAGCCAUGAUUCAAAUUUUUUAUUAUUUAGGCGAACAGCUUUAGAGAAAAAUUUGUCAGCUAAUGGCUUAACCUUGUCAUGUCUGAUGUCAAAAGUUUGAGAGCUUGCUGGAAUUCAGAAUGUUUAUUCUCAUGAUUUCUGCAAUCUAUUAAGCCAAGAAGCAGACAUCAUCUUUCAUUAUCCCUGACAGUAAACUCUCAUUGCAGAAUUCAAAACAGAACACUUACAUGACCGAUGUUUGCUAACAUGCGAGAAUGUAUAAAAAAUAAAAUAAGUUAACGGCCAGGAAAACUACCCUGGUAGAAGGCAACAAAAAACUUUAUUUUUCCAGAGGAUUUGCGAAGUAUUUGUUAUAUCAUGUGUAUUGUUAUACACUGUUAGCUUGCCUUGUUCCAUUCCAAAACAAUAUUCCAGUAUCAAUGUAUAUAUGAAAAUGCGUGCUAAUAGCAGAAAAUUAAAUCAAUAUUUUUCUAUAUCACUGAAUAGCAUGACACUAGGACAAAGUGUGCCUGACACAAAUUACAGUGAAGUACUGACAUAUAGAUGUUUCCACUGUUCAAUGAUUUCAUCAUCAUUCAUCUCCAUUGUCUUCAUCAGCAAGAGAGCAAAACACUAUAUACAAUGUGAAGUGUAACUCAGCUACUUCCCAUGCUUGCUAUGUGCAUUGUUUAUAACAUUCAGUCUUCUUCCUUGCAUUCCAAACAUUAGCUUCUAGUAGUACCGGUUCUGGUGCUCCUUCUGGAAAUAUUCUUGUUUCUGUGAAUCAAAUGAUCAAGAGAUAGUAUAAGAGAAAUAUUAAGACCAUACAAGGGAUAAAAAGUGAAUAGGAAGUUCUAUUAAUUUUUGUAACACAAAUUGCAGCAUAAAACUGAAGAAAAAAAAAUUACAAGCAACAAAGCAUCCAUAGGUGUUGAUUACAUUUACUGGUAGCCAAUUCAUUGGCCUAGAUUUCAGCUUGCACAAUAUCUAACUAUGCAUUAUUAGUAAUAAAUCUAUGUUUCUCAAACUCAUUCAUCUAGCUGAGGUGCAAAUAACACCAUACUUGGCAAUGUGCAGGUGGAAAAUUCCAAAUGCUUAAUGUGCUGCUCCAUAGAUGGAUACAAUGAACAUGCCCCUUCUGUUCCACCUAGAUCAAAUUAAUGAUGCAGUUUAACAUAUGAUAUAACUUUCUGAAAAUUCCCAAACAAAAGCCACGGUCAUGCCUCGUAAUGGUAAGGUGAUUUUGCUCUAACCUUAUAAACCUAUUGAAAAUGGCAAUGAUACUGACUUGAGAAAAAUCAAGUGAGGCACAACCAAUGUAAUCCAACUUUCAGUAAAUCCAGAAAUGCAAAAUGAAACUACCAAAUGCCGCAUCAAUUUCUUUUUCAAAAAAAAUGUUUGUUGUGACUAUUUCACUGAAACUUUCUUAAGUUCUAGGAUCGAACAAAUGGCAGCGCAAAGAUGUGAAUUUCUUGUAGAUGCAUCAGAAAGUACAGAAACAUAAUGCCCGAGUAAAAAAUAUUACCAAGUUAAACAAAAGCACCUAAACCCAUCUCUUCUGGGGAGCAGAAAUGUUCUUUGAUCCCUGCUGAGUGCGCCUUUUAAUUUUCUUUGAAUCGACGCUAGAAGAUGACAAUUGCCUGGGCCUUAGCACCACAGUUGAUUCAGCUCUCUGAAUCAUUUGAUUCUCUUUAAGAGGGCUAACAGAGCGCCGCAUCAGAACCCUCCCUGAAGAUCUGUUUAAGGAAGAAAAGGAUUUGGUUGAAGGUUGCCUCUGACUUUCUACUGCUGCAAAGGCUUCUUGCUGAGGACUACAAUAGGCAAUUGAUCCUUGACAGCAGAGUUCUUUGUGCUCCACAGGAGAAUCACAAUCUGAUGAUGAUGGACUAGUGCUACUCAUGUCAUAGAGAAUAUUAUUUGCCAUGACCGGGAGCUGCCUAAUAUCAGAGUUUGUAGCAGAACAAGAGGCUCUUCGAAGCCUUGUUAGUUCAAUAACCUACAUCCAUUAUUCACUUCAGUAACUUGAUGUUAACCAGAGGCAAACCUAUAACUUCCAGGUUCUGCAAAUCCAAUGAAACAGGUACCAGUUCUUUUUACCUGUUGCUCUAGAAACACCAUGUCUUUCUUCAAUUUGGAUAUUACCAUAUUUUUCCUUCUUAUGAUCUCCUCCAACUCCAUAAUCCUCUAAUCAGGAGUAAAAAGGAUAAAAUAUCAAAUUAUCUUCUCAAGUAAGAACCAACAAAAGAAGACGCACCUUAGAGUCGGCAACACUGGAUGCAUGGGCAGCAGCAGUCAGUUCCUUUAUGGUAGCAUCCUUCUCUUCACACUCGUUUCUAAGGUUGUAAAAUUCUUGCUCUGCCGCCAGUGAGCUCAACUGAAUGCAAUUGAAGUCUGGAUAUUAUGCAGGGAAAAUCACAUAACCGUGUUUAAAUGAUCAUGUAUAUUCCAUAAGCAUUAGUACAAAUAACAAUAAUAAAUAACUAACCGGCCAGUAAAUUAGUAAUUAAAUCCAACUGUACAAGAACAACUGUUCAAUAAUUCAAAACUUUCUCUACUCAGCAAAUUGUACUAGCAAAACAAAUGAUGAAGAGAACUUCUUAAAGACUAAACAAGUCUUAACCACAACUAACCAAGUCCUAUCAUGGUAUGGAAUCAGGCAGUAUGGGGUGUUCCAUACCAUACCGGUUUGGGUACCAGUACCCAGUACAGGUAGCGUAUCGAUACUCGGUACGUCAAAAACAGUUCAUACCGUACCGUACUAAUACUGUGCUAGUAUGAUACUGGUACGGAGUCCGGUAUCAAGACGGCAAAUAUAGGUCCUAUCCAUGACCAUCUUGGAAGCACAGGAUAAAAAAGAGGAUGUUUUUAGAAUGCACAACAAAACAUAAAGCAACUAAUGGAAUCCACAAUUUAAAUUCAGAUAUUACGUAGGUUGGUGACAAAUGCUCUUAACCAAAUAGCAACAUACUCGAAUGAAAAAUACCUAAGGUUCAAGAAAACUUCCGAAACAGUAAACAAGUAUAGAAUACAACCAGUGAUAUCUUAUUCCUGAUCACCUCCUGAAGAAUGGCACGGAAAUAUUUUCAGAAUGAACAGAACAUCGAACUGAAUCCAUAAUUUUUAUUUAGAUAUUAUCUAGUUGGCGACAGUUUCUCAAUAACAAAUAAAACCAUGCUAGAAUGGAAAAAAUUAAGGCUCAGAACAUAUCAAAAUAAAGCUUCCAGCAUUUUUUUUUCUUUUCAAUUAAGAGAAUGCAAGAAAUGUCAAGAAAGCAUCACCAAGCUGUUCAGAAAACUUCACCAACUAUGGAAUCCCAGUCAGUACUUUGCAAGCACAAAGGCAAAAUCCCAGUCUAAACAUGGUUUAGACCAACAAAAAGGCAAUCCAACUUUAUGUCUCUGUUUCCCCCGGACAUAAUAAUCGAUCAUCUUGGAUCUAUCAAAGAGUUUAACAGUUCAAGCACCUGAAUAUCUGCAGAAGAUGUCACACUCCAACAAAAAUCAGACAAAUCAGACAUUCGACGCUCCUCUUGCUCCGCCAUAUUCACGAUUGAGGUCUUCAGCAUCUCAUCUUUGGUAGAUUCUAUUCCAUUCAGAUCCUGUAAGGGAAAAUGUUAAGGCCAUAUGAAAAUACAAAAUGUUAAUAUAAAUAUAAAAUUCAAUUCUUUUUAGUCAGCCAGAGCUCCCACCAUUGCCCUAUGUGACAAGUUCUUGCAAAGAGGAAUAAUGCCACACCCAGGAUUCAAUUCCAAAAUUGAACAUCUGUUGCCACCCAAUUUAGCUCCUCUAGAAUCCCGCUUCUGGGCAGCAGCAAUUCCAGAAUUCAUCCGCUCACACAAGUUGUCGAGCUUCUGCUGCAUGCUUAGCAGCACCUGAUCCUGCUUUAUUUGAAACUGAAUUGUUAAGUUUUCCAGACCGCCGCCCCCUCCCCAACCAAAAAAAAAAAACAGCUACGGAAGGUACGCCAAAUCCCAUAAGGCCAUAACUACUGAGGAGAAUAAAAAACUAAUCCUCAAACCUCCACAAAAAAAAGGAGAAAAUGAUUUUCCCGAUAUCAAAUGCAUUCGGGAAAGAACUUUUACCAUACAAGACUAGCAAGCGAAGAACUCCAUAAAGAAAUCUUAGUUCUUAACGGAAUACCUACCGAAAUAAAAAGCGGUUUUUCAUGUAAAAAAGACUCUUUGUCAAGACAGAGAAUUUACCAAAGGCCGUGCCUUCACUUCCUCUUGCUUAACUUUUUGAAAGCUAAAUUUGUGAAAAAGUUCAAUGCUUUUUUUAGAACGCAUAUCCAUAAAAAGAUACAAGAACAGCGAAGGAAGCCAGUUGAUCAAACUAAAAUGGCCAUAAGAAACAAGAAAUAAAUGAUUCCAUCGCUUCAGUGGUUCAAAAAAUUUAAGACUUUUCGAAUCUAUGACGAACCCUUAUAUCUACCGAUCUGUGGAGUUGCGCUAUCUUCCGAGCUCUCUUCGACUUAGAGGAGGCCACGGCUACGACGGCAACGAUGAGGACCCGUUGGAGUGGGGUAAACAGCUCCCAAGCCGCGGCUUCCACCGGCGUCAAGCCCCCUCCUACGGCGCUGGCUGACGUGGCCUCCUGCGUGCCGACCAGGCGGCCCUGGAGGGAGACCCACGCGAGCUUCUUCCUCGCCGGGGUCGCAGCCUGGCUCGGCUCGUUGAAGCAGCUGGAGAGGCGGCGUGGAGUCGGGGAGACGAAAGGGGCAAAAGGUGCGAGCGAGACACGAGCCGGCGGGGCGGGAGUCGCGCCUGAGCCGGGCCGGGGGGCGUCAUCGUCGCCGACCAUCGCGAGAUAGUCGGAAAUAGAGAGGAGGCGGAGGCGGAGGCGUUGGGGACGGAGGACGGGGGAAUUCGAGCGCGUUUAUUACAGGUUGGAAUGUUUUGAAAUUUUGAGUGCCGAAGGAGACAGUUUUGGCAAAAAAAAAGGAGACAGUUUUGGCGAGAUGGGGGGGGAGCGAACGAGACACGUGGCAAAUAGGAUGGUGCCGUAAUGAGGCCGUUGGGAACCGGACAAUAUCGGUGAAGCAAUACUAGCCGUUAAAGGUUUUUCCCUAUUUACCAAAAAAAAAUGGUUUUUCCCUCAAGUCGGUUUCUGUUAAAAAUUUGUAAUAUAUUUGUAUUCUUUUUCGGACGUAUGUUAGAAUUUCUUGUGUUUUGAUUUCUUUUUAAUCCUUAUCUUCUUUUUGAAAGUGAUGGAGAAAAUGUGGCAUAAUUUAAGAAAAAAUAUUACAUUACUGCUGCUUCAUUUCAUUGUGGCUUGUGAUUUACUUAUUUUCAAUAAAGAUGCAAUAAAACUGAAGUUUAAUUUGAAUUGUUGGAAAUAUAAAAAAUAUUUUAUAUGUCUAUAAUUUUAAUAUUACACAAAGAAGUCUUAUAAAUAGGAUUGCAAUCAAAUCGAGUUGUUUAGCAACUCAAAUUUGAUUUAGCUACAAGUUUGUUUGAGCUUGGUUCAUUUAGAAAAAUAGUUCAUGCUUAAAUAUAUUCUGAAGUGUGUCUCAUAAAUAAGCUAAGCUUGAACUUUUAAGGCUCAAAAAAAUAAAUAGGAGUUUGGCUUCACUUACCAAGAAGCUUGUUCGAGCUUCGCUUAUAUAAUGUACAAGCCAAGCUGGAAGAAUUGCUUUUCAUCUUAAGCUUGGCUCGAGCCCAAAUAGCUCUGUAUAUAGCAAGCUAAAGCUUCAGCAGUAGGUUGUUUGCAUUCUAGCCCAUAGAGAAUUGAUAGGUUCAAAUAAUGAUUUCAUUUUUUUUCUAUUUGAACCUCAUAUGGCUCAACUUGUUUUUUCUCCGCAUAAAAGAGAGAAUUUUUAAAAAAUGAGAUUAACAGAAGUCUUAGAGAUAGAGAAAUAAAAUCAUCUAUACAAAUUAUCAAUACUCCAACCAUCAUAAGAUAUCGAGGUUAGGAACUCCAUUGUUAAGGUUUCCCAUUAUGAUUGUAAAUUAAAGAAAGGAAACAUUUUUAUUAUUUUUUUUGAGAUGCAUUGGAUAAACUAAUCUCACACACAUAUAAUCCUUUCUAUUUUUAGCCAUAGGAUCUUUAAUUUUAAACAUAUUUUAUAUUUUUCUAGUGUCAAAAAGAGCUAAAGCUUCUUUUUUAAAAAGAAAUUGAAAAUACUUUCAAUUUUCUUCAAAUUUAGCCCAUUGUUUUGCUUGUCCAAUCAAUUUUGCCUAUCCAAUAUCACCAACAAUUGAUCCAAUUGUAGCUGCAUUACUCAUGAUUGUCUAUAUGCUGCACAUCUCAACAUCAGCUCUAUAUUUUCCUCCCUCACCCUAUUUCUUCCCCUUAGCCCGUCUUCAACAUCAUCUUAUCUGGAUACCUUGUCUUCCUCCACCCUUAGUUCCUCUCCCACCAUCUCUAUUUGCCCAAUUCAUCUUCACCCCAACCUACAUUUUUUGUUUGACUUCAUCCUUUCAUUGUUGCUCUCCCUACUCACAUGCUUCUCUCUCCUUUCAUUUGUUUAACUUCGUCCAUCAUCAUUUAUUGAGCCCAACAUUCAUAUACUUUCUUCCAUCACCAUCCUCAUGUUUUGCCCCUUUCUAUUUUAUCAUAAUCACUCGACUUACUUUCCUUCUUUGCUAUCCAAAAUAAGAAAAUUAGACGAAUGGAACGCGCUUAAAGAAAGGCAUGGAAAAUAAAACAUAUAAAAAUAAAACAAAAGAAAGAAAACAAAAAGAUAUGCUUUUAACUCUUUCAAAGAUGAAACCAUGACUAUUCAAUUCUAGAUCAAGUGGCUAAAAGAAUAAAAGUGUUCGGUAUCCCGCCUUUUAGAAGUAGAAAAGUUUAAUAAAAAUAUAAUAUUAGGGAUAUGGCUUAAAAUCAACGUACCUAUCAUGAGUCACCAUGUGGCAGGUGCAACGACCAAUUUUAAACAGAUUUGAAUCUUAAGCAUAUUUAAGAGGAUCUAUUAUUAAAAGUAUUCAAAUAAGGAAGUGUUGCUGGUGGUCCAAACCGAGAACGAUUGGCACAGCGGUGUGAACGGGGUUUCGUUUGGGUUGCCNNNNNNNNNNNNNNNNNNNNGUUAUUUUCUUUAAAUAAUGCAUUGGCAUGUGAAAUAUUAUGCUUAAUCCGGUAAGAUGGUGCAUGGUUACUGUUGCUGGUGGUCCAAACCGAGAACGAUUGGCACAGCGGUGUGAACGGGGUCCCAUUUGGGUUGCCUUGGUUGGUGUUGAUUGCGCUCCACUUUCCACCGGGAAACCUGCAAGCAAGUCUCGCACCACCACUGGGGUAGUAGGGGCCCUCCGACGAUCAAGUCAGAGGAGAUUGGAGGAGAAGGAGAGAUAAUAGUAGCAAGUAAGAGAAUGCUCUGGAAGUUCUUGCUUACCCUCCCCCUUCUCCCCCCAGCCGCAUAUAUACCAGGCUGAGGGGCCCUUUUGGGGGGUUGGUCAUCGUGUAGCACGAUGGAGCUGCCACUGACAUGGCCGUUACAGGGCGUCGUGGGGCAGCGCUGGGUACGGCCAUGACAGGGCGUAGUGGAGCUCCGCUUUGUACGGCUGUUACAGGGGAUCGUGGAGCAGCGCCGGAUACGACCGUUGCAGGGAGUAGUGGAGCAGAGGGCCGCGGCGUGCCUCUGGGAAAUAGCCUGUCGUUGUCGGGAGAUGUCCGACUCGGGGUCGGGCUGCGGAGACGAAGAUGUCCGACUCGGGGUCGGAUUGCUGGAUCAAGGGGCAGCCGACUUNNNNNNNNNNNNNNNNNNNNGCCCCCCACUUCCGAGCCUGGAACCAGGAGGGGAACGGGUGAAGGGAGUGAUGCUUCGGGAUUGCCGCCAUCCCUCGGAAAGGCGCGCGCGCUCCGAGCUCCCCGCCUUCUUUAUGGCGUAUGGCGGUUGUCGCUGAUCUGGCGGUCUGCGGAUUUCGGCGGACAUCCUUCCUUGAUGGCGUCGAUUCGCCUUUGGGGCGUGAACGAUCCUUCGGUAGCCAGGCGUCCCCUGGCAUCACCGAGGCGUCACCCGCCUUUCCGCCUAUUUAACCGGGGGCCCUCCCCCGUCCGCCUUUCUCUUCACAGGCAUCCUCGAGUUUCUCCCUUGUGCUGCUGCCGUUGCCGUCGGACUGUUCGUUCGCUCCUCCUUUGACGCUCUCGGAGCCGUUCUUCCUUUCCUUCCGGUGAGUUGCCCCACUCUUCAAUUUAGGGCUCUCCGUACUUUCUCCUUUCGUAUUAGUGUACCCCAGUCGUUCCGGUCCCUUCUCCCCUCUUGACCCCGUCCUGACCGUAGAUUCACUGGCCANNNNNNNNNNNNNNNNNNNNNNNNNNNNNNNNNNNNNNNNNNNNNNNNNNNNNNNNNNNNNNNNNNNNNNNNNNNNNNNNNNNNNNNNNNNNNNNNNNNNNNNNNNNNNNNNNNNNNNNNNNNNNNNNNNNNNNNNNNNNNNNNNNNNNNNNNNNNNNNNNNNNNNNNNNNNNNNNNNNNNNNNNNNNNNNNNNNNNNNNNNNNNNNNNNNNNNNNNNNNNNNNNNNNNNNNNNNNNNNNNNNNNNNNNNNNNNNNNNNNNNNNNNNNNNNNNNNNNNNNNNNNNNNNNNNGCAGAGGCUUUCUUGGCGUGGGACAUCUUAUGAACAAGAAAGAGGAGAGCGGGGCUAGAGACAUUGGGGUGGUGGAGGUGGGAGAAGGAAAGAAGGAGGUGGGUGGUAAAAGGAAGCAAUGGAGGGCGAUGGAAGGGAGAUAAGACAUGUGGGCGGGGAGAAAAAAAGGGGAACAAGAGCACUCUUGUUUCCACAGGGUGUGACCCCUUGUCUCUUGAAGAGAAAGGGGGGUGCAUGGCCCCCUUUCUAUUGCCCAAAUAAACAAAGGCACCACCUUAUAGGCGGGCAUUGAUGAUGGCUAGGCUUGGGCCUUGGGCAUAGGUAUCACAAACCCUAUCAAAUUUUGGUUUUGCACAUGUUUUAAAAUAUUCAGGUCAUGAUCAAUGCUGUGAAUUCUCAAUAAAUAUGCACUAUCAUACUUUUAAAAACACUAACGCUGUUGACACCAUCCAUUUUUUCUUUGCUUGACGCACAUGUAAAAUACCUCCCAAAUAAAAUGCUUUUUUUCUACUCAUCCAUGUGUUUGUACAUCAUGAGUAGAGUUUUGUAUCUCCAAUUAGAUGGCAUAUAAUUUGUUGUUGAUAUGAUUUAGUCUUUAAUCCUACCGGCAGGAUUCCAGUUCAACUCAUAUACAAUUACAUGUACUUAUAAUACAUACAUGAUGCACACAUAUAGAUUAUAUGCAUGUACAUAGUGAGAGAAAGAUGUCUACAUUUCAUAGUAUAAUCUAAAUACACUCCAAAAGUGUCUAUUUUGCAUUUAAAGAAAUAAAAGAAUCAUUUGAAGGAGAUGGAUAUUAGGGCAUCCUCUUAAAAUGUGAGAAUUCAGCUUUUCAUUCUUGAACAAUCUUACUAAGAUACCUUAACAUCACGACAAGUUCCCACAUUGUCGAGAACUUUUUGACGGCUAAAAGUUUCAAAGGACUCCCCGUUGAAUACCCUAUAAAAACAAUUCUUUUAAGAGCUUAGAAUCUAAUUUAAUCAGCUGUAAAGUAACUUUGACCUUUAGUACAAGUAAAAAUUAUAUUCCAUUAUAUCAUAAGCGUUAUCCAUGCCAAGCUCGAAAGUGACUUUGCCACUUUUCUAUAUUGAGCAACCUUUCACAAAUGCACCUUUUUUCGUGAAGCUGACUUGAGAUUAUACUCUUUUGAAGCUUGCAGGCUAUUAUUUUAUAAAUAAUUCUAGGCAUAACUCCGCUAUCUAAGGAUCAGAAUUAGUUGCCAUGCAGUUGCCAACCAUGGGAGUCAUGGUAGGACCCAUGUAUGUCUUUUAGAAAGAAAUAUUUCUGGGUGACCAAUCUUUUGGAGAUCUUGAUAUGGCUCUGCUUAACUUCAUUCAGCUUAUAAACCAAAAUUUAGAAUUGGCAUAUGACUUCAUCGAAUGUUGUGACAUCAUUAAAAGUUCUCUUUCUCCCUUUCCAUUUGGGUAAUUUGGCACAUAUCACCAACUGCAAAAAGAUUAGUAAUGUUCUUUAUGAUCCUAGGUGCGCAAUAAAAUCUCAAAUGUAUCCAAUAAGAAUUCCUAGGUCAACUGCCUUUCAUUGGAUGUGACAACUGACAACCUAAGGCUAACUGGUGAAAAGACAAGUACAAGAAAUGAAAAAAUUAAUUUCUUUUUAUUGUUACCCUCAUCUUUUUCUCUAUUUUAUCCAUUGAGAGAAGCGGGUAGAGGGAUGAAAUGGUAAUGUGAUGUCAUGCGGUACUGAUACAAGGCCUAUCAGACUCUAAACCCUACAUGUAGGGGAUAUAGGGCCACAAAGCCUGCUUUUUGUUUGCCUGAUGACUAUGUUUCAGGAGCUGUCAUUUCCUCCCACUUUUCCAUGUGUUCACUUCAUGGAUAUACCUUUUCUCGUUCUGAUAGGACCAGAAUAUGUGAGCAACCAUUCUCAUAUUCUCAUGAUGAGCAAUCUUAUUCUUUCUCAUUGUUUGGUGGCCUAAACAGUAAAAUGAAUGUAAUACCACUGUAAUCAGAACUUAGAAAAUUAGUAUCAGUGUCUCUCUUAUCAGGCAGUAUUUCAGUCAGUAUCUUUUACUAUUGUAUGAAGAAAAUUUAAAGUGCAGCUCUCGAUGCAAAUAUAUCGCAUAUUGAUUGGCUGCACAGAUUAGGGAAUGGCUGUAUUGUAGGCGUCGUCUAAAACAUAAUAAUAAUAGUAGCAGCAGCAUCAGUAGUAGUAAUAAUAAUAAUAAUAUUAACAAUAGUAACAAUAAUGGUGAAAAUAAUAAAAUAAAAAUACUAAGGUUUACUACGUUGUCCACAAAGUAAUGUUGAGUACAAGUGGCAUCACGUGUAAGACUUGUGACAGCCAAGGUCAGUGACAAUCCUUGCAUAAGAGGUGGUUGAUCUUCUGGAUUACAAACUCUAGAUGCGUUAUAUAUAUAUAUAUAUAUGAUUUGUAUAACCUAUUUGAGUACAUGUUUAUGUUUUCUUGUCAGUAAUUUGCUUAUUUCUGUAUUGCAGGCCUUACUGGUGCUUUUUGAAAGUUAAUGAUGAAAAAUGUGCAGCAGGUAAGUUUCAAUACUUCUUCUUCCAAUUAGAGUAUAAUACUACGAGAAGUAAGGAGCCAGUGUCAUUUAUUAAAUUGAAGUUACCUUCGACUUUCUGUUAAUUUAUCACUAUUGCCCAAAAGCUGCAUUAACGAGUCACAAACGACUCAAGAUAAUGAGUCAAGAAUGACUCAAGUAACAACUGGCAAUGAGCCUAAGAGAAGAAAAGAUCAUAAAUGAUUAGUAUAAGAAAAAUUGGCCUGGACAGGGAUUUGAACCCAUGAGCUUUGGCUCUAAUAUUAAUUUAAUUUGCCACUGGACCUCAAAAGCUUAAGUUGUUAGGAAAGAAGUAAACAAUGUAUAUUAAGCCGUAACAUAUUCUACAGUUAUUUAUGUGCAUACACUGCACAGUAUUUGCAGUCUGCCCAUGCAAAGUUUGCACAUUGGAGAUACUUCAUUUUGGAUGCAGCCAUGGCAUCUUUUGCUUAUCUAGUUCAUACAUGAUUUACUGAUAAGGCUACUGCAACAUACAUCAUAACCUAAAACACACACAUUUGAAAACAUAAUCCUCUCAUCCUAGUAAUCUUUUUUUUCCCAGUAUGACAAAAAAUGCUUUAACAAUGUCCAAAAUUGAUAGAUUGUUCAGCAGUUACAAGGGCUUAAUCUCUGCAAUGAGUUAAGUCUACCUACCUGCCAGCUGCUCUCAAAGUUUUAAGGCAGGCUUCUUUUGCCACAAGUUGCUUUGUCCAAGAACGAGACACCAUUUAAUGGAUGGUCAUGUUCUCGAAGGCUAGUAAUCUUUUUUUCCCAGUAUAACAAUAAAUGCUUUAACAAUGUCCAAAAGUGAUUGAUUGUUCACCAGUUGCGAGGGCUUAAUCUCUGUAAUGAGUUAAGUCUACCUACCUGCCAGCUGCUCCCAAAGUUAAGGCAGGCUUCUUUUGCCACAAGUUGCUUUGUCCAAGAAUGUGACACCAUUUAAUGGAUGGUCAUGUCAGUUUGAAGGCUGGCCCUGGAUGGUCAAUAUUCCAUGCUUUCUGUGGUCCAUAUAGCCAAAUCCGGAUCGGACGCGAUAAGUUUUCAGCUGAGGAAAUCCAAUAUUGGGUUUUUUAAACCAGAAAAUAGAUGGCUGAGAAAUCUUGUCUUGUACUUAAUCAGUGCAAUUAAGGUGGUCUUCUUUAUAGUUGCCAGAUUAAUGUAUUGUAGCGUGACAAAAGUUUUCAUGAUCACUGCCAAAAUAUUUACAAAGGCAAAGAGUGUUUUCUGAUGAUUUUAAAGCAUGACAUUUCAUCUAUUUCAACUGAUUAUUAACUGCUUAGCUACGUCAUUCAUGAAAAAAGAAUAGGAAAUCAAGAUGUAAUGGUUUUUCAAAUUGUCGAUAUUACCUCUUCCUUUCUCUACAGGGGCCUGCAACAACAUGCUAUGUGGCACUACAUCCUCAAGUUAAUGGAGUGACAGGACAGUAUUUCAGUAAUAGUAAUUUAGCGACACCUAGCUCCAAAGCUUCCGACAAACAACUGGCCAAGAAAUUAUGGGAUUUCAGCUUGAAUUCAAUUGCUUAUUGCUAUAUCGUCGACUUGCUUUAUCUCAUUCUUUAAUGCUCACCUUUUACUGUAAAACCUCUGAAUUAAUUGUACUCCACCUCUGCAUGUGCAUUGCACAUUCUUUUUUUAAAGAAGAAAGAGCAUUUUGAUGAAUUGCUGUGAUUCCAUCAAUGAAGAUUGUUUAUAGCAAAUUUGAUAAAUUACUUCUGUUUUAGUUUGAAUACUAUUUUAUGGGUAUAUUUUUCUAAAGGAGUAGACUAUUAUAAUGAUAUUGUCUUUGUCCCAUGGGACAAGCCUUGGCCUCACACAUAGUCCUCAAAAGGAAUUUGUCUUAUGAUGCUAGAGAAUUUUCUGUACUCAGUACUCACCAUAAGUAAUAGAAAAACAAUGCCAUUGUUUUUCUCAUAACAUAAAUAGCAUGCCUUAGAAAUACCGAAAGAGGAGCAGUGCAUACCCAUAAAUAUCUCUUGAUCAGGCUAUAUGCAACUGAUUCUGUUAUUGUAGGUCUCUGCAGCAGAAAAUGAUGCAACUAAUAGGAGGGAGAGGAAGAAAAGAACCAUAUGUCCAUAAUUCUCCUUGUAUAGAACAUGAAUAAUUAUAAUGGGUUACUAGCUUACUCCAAUGUAAACAUCUUUUUGGUAGAUUUCCUAAGUUCCUUCCACAACUAUUACCUUAACAAAAUUCACUACCAUAUAGGGAAAUAUAAUCUUAUAAUUGAUUUAUAAUCUUUAAAGGUGUCAUUAAAUGAUAAUUAUGUUUAUUAAAUCGAAUCUUUCAUCUCAUAGAUCCCCAGUAUUGAAUCGAAGGUCAAGAUCAGCUAUUACUGUGUCAUGCCUCGAGCCCGGAGCGCAACAGACACUGUACAAGAUCAGCUAUUACUCUGUCAUGCCUCGAACCUGGAGCGCAACAGACACUGUACACCUGUACGGCGGACCGUACAGGUAUGCAAAGCUAUAAAUCAUAUCAAAGCAAUGAUAAAUUUUUAAAAUUUAUUUUUUAAUCAAUAAUUUACUCAAAACAAUCUCCCAAAGUUUUUUUUUUGGUACAGCGGGGACUCACACACGUGUAUGGGUAUAGCCAAGCAAUCUCCUAAAGUUUCAAAAUAACAUAUGACAACAUAAAUUAAUUACUCUAACUAGUCUAUCUAAAAUGCUAAUAACUGAAAGAAAUCUUCAGAAAUCUAGCGUAUUUCCCAAGUCCCGUGCAAUCACGUAUCUGAAUCUGAAAAAUAGAGAAAACAUGAUGAUGAGCUACACUAGCCCAGUAAGCAAUAUAAUACCCCAAAUAUGGGGUCAAACAUGCCAGAUAUUUAGUUAAAAUACGAAAUAAUGAUUGAAAAAUAAAGCACAAAAAAUAUAUUUUUCUUUUCAAAAUUUAUUAUUAUUUUCACAAAAACUCUCAUAUUAGAAUUCCAACAUUAAUAGGAUAUACCACGUAACCUAGUGACAUAGAUUGUACAAAGUGCCCAAUCCACUAUUAUUAACCAUCGGUGGCAACGAUGUCCAAAUCAACUAUUAUUAACCACCGGUGGUAAUGAUGUCCAAAUCCACUAUUUUAAUCACCGGUAGCGCGGUGUCGAAAUCAGUUUCCCACAAAUACAAGUCGACAUGGCCAGCGAAUAAUCUCUAUUGGUAGGGCCAAAAUAGAUCAUAGCCAUACUGCGAAUACAUAUAUAUACACAAAAUAGAUUUUUCAUAAUUUACCCAAUCACAUUUUUCAGAUUUCAUAAUAUAACAUAAAUACAAAAUGAUAUUAAUAUACCUGGCCCGAUUAACUAAGUAUAAAAAUAUACAUCAAAAUUUAAUCAACUAAAAAUUAUUUUACCAAAUAAUUUUGAAAACACAGUUUGAAGUAUUAGGUUACUUACUUCUUUUCACUUUAAAUCCCACUUCAGGCAAACAUGUUAGAUACACUUAUUUAAUAUCAUUAAAAUAUUAUUAAUUUAAACAUAAUUUCAGAAGUCAGAAUUAAAUACUAUAGUCGUAUGCCCCCAGAUCAGUUCAGCCCGAGCAAGGAGGGUUCAACGGGUCAUAGGUGAGAUCGAAAGUGGCCAAAUAUAGCUGGAGCUGAAGUAAUGGCCGGUCUACCACACAAGUACCGGGGCAGUUCGGAAUUUUCAAACUGGGUCAACUUGGAUCCAAGCUAAAAAAAGGACAUGGCUUACACUAGGAUCUCCAAGCUUGUCCAGAGAGAGAAAAAAGAGGAAAGAGAAUCUCUGGUCGAGUUUGGAUUUGGUCUGAUCAUGGUCUUGGGGUUGGUCCUAAUAGUUCAGAUUGACCAUCAGAGGAAUGGUCUAGAUCUAGUCAGAACGUGGGCUUGCUUAGAGAGAGAAAGAGAUACACAAUCUAAGGUUAAUUGAGCUUUUGGGCUUGAUCUACUUAGUUAAAUCCAAUCAGAAGCUUGGCCUAUUCAGUCCGAUUUGACCAAAAUCGAAAAAGAGAUAUUUGACCUAGGUCGAGCAGGAUCAACUAAUAGGCUUUCAGAGAAAUUUUUGCAUUUAAUUGGACAUAUAGUUUAGUUUCACUUAUAAGGUAAGUAAUGCAACACUUUUUUUCUAAAUUUAUGUGUAAUUUAUAAAAUAUUUUCUAUAUGGAAUUAUUCACGAUUUAUAAAAGUGAUCAUAGUAUUUUUAAUUAUUAAAAAUGCCCUUGUCCAAAAUUUUAAACGACUCAUGAUUGAAAGUAUUGAUCUUGAUAUGGAUGAUGCCUUAUUGAUUUUGAUGUCACAUAUUUUUAUGAAUAUAUGUUUAAGAAAAAGAUUUUUGAUUCGAGACAGACUUAGACUCAUAGCCAAUAUAUAUUUUGAUACCCUGCAAGUAAGGAUUAUAUGCUGGCACUUUGACACUCUGAUAGUAGGGGUUGUAUGUUAGCAUUUCGAUAUCCUGCUAGCGAGGGUGGUACGUUGGUACUUUGAUAUUUUGCUAGUGAGAGUCAUACAUUGGUACUUUGAUACCCUGCAAUUGGAGGUACGCGGUAGCACUUUGAUGAGGUCAUAGUUCAUAGCUGUUGAGAUGAACCGGAUAUUUUCAAAGUAAUUGAUUUAUCAAUGAAAUUUGAAUUUUGAAAUAAUUGGAUAGUAUUUAGAUUUGGUUUUGAAUUGAUGUACUUUAGAUGCUUAUUUUCAGCAUAUUAUUAAUUAUUUUAUUGUUGGACUUAUUUUGUUAAAAUAUUCAUUGCUUACUGGGUUGUCUAGCUUAUUAUUCUAUAUUUUAUUAUUUUAACAAAAUUAAAGAACUAGCUUGACUUCGGGAUUCGUUAUGGGAGAGCUACUAAAGAUAGAAUUUUGACAUCUUUUAGUUUAUGUUAGGAUUUUGUUAAAGUUUGAUGCAAGCCUUUAGAAUAUUGUUGCUUUUGUGUGACACUUAAUUUUGAGUUAGUUAUUUAAAUUAAAUUUUGAAUGUUAAUUAUUUAAAUUUAUUCCACUGCUUGUUUAUGAUAUCAUGUUGAGAUGCCUUGCAUGCUUGUGAGAGAGUUUCCUAUGAGCGGUUGCCGCAACCCCUGGCUCGUGAUCUCGAGUUGGGAGCGUGACAAUUAAUAUGAUAUUAGAACAUAAGUGAAUAAACUAUAAAUCAUAAAAUCAGACAUAAGAUGAGUAUAGAUGGGUAUAUAUUGUGGACAUUGGGACAUUAGUUUAUGAUGAUUGUGAUAUAAAUUAUCUUAAUAAAUUUAUAAUUAACUAAUAAGCCUAUUUAGGAUUUGCUGCUACGUGAUGGAGGCAUUAGUUUAGGAUGGUUGCAAUAUAAAUUAUCUUAAUAAAUUUAUGAUUAAUUGAUAAGCUUAUUUAGGUUUGCUGCUAUCUGAUAGAUAUAGGUUAAGAUGUCUGCAUAUUGGAUAAAAAGGACGAUUAGAAAUUCUGCCGUAGAGGCAUCAAACUAGCAGGUUGGUGGUAGUUUCCAGCAAGUUGGUGGCAGUUUCCUGCAAGUUGGUGGCAGUUUCCUGCAAGUUGGUGGCACUUCUCAAUAGGAAAGAGUUAUUGAUCCAACUUGAAACCAUACAGAGCAACCAGAACCUAAUAUGGCCUAAUUAAUGCAGACAUUAGAUGGAUUGAUGCAACUGCAGCAGCAAUUACAAUAGCAACAAUGGCAAAUGCAACAACACAUGCAAAUAUAGCCACUAAAAGUACGUGGGGAGCAGCAGAAGCAGCAAUGUAACAUUGUAGAAUUUAAGAAGAUGGCUCCACCAGCUUUCAAGGGGACUACAUAACCUUUGGAAGUUAAAAAUUGGCUUAUGGAAAUAAAGAAAGCAUUCACCUUUCAAAGAUGCGUUGGGGAUGAAAAGAUUUGUUAUGCAUCAUACAUGUUGCAGGGUGAGGCAUUCAAUUGAUGAUAGAUGCUGGAUUAUAAAUAUGAACAAGAUAGGGAACAACUUACAUCUUUUUUUAAGGAGGAGAAUAUAACACUCAACCCGAUUAGCUGGCCUGGUCCAUUUGACCAGCCUAGAUGAAAGGAUUCAACCCAAGAAAAGACAAGAAGAGAGAGAGAGAGAGGGGAAGAGAGAAGGGCUUCUCUCCUCUCCUCCGUUCCUCUCCCUUCUCUUCUUCUCUUUUUCUCUCUCUUUCCUACUUUCUCUCUUCUAUUUCUCUCUCUUCUUUCUCUCUCUUAUUUCUCUCUCUACUUGGACUUUCUUCUACUCUCUCUAGGGUUGUUGGAUCUGGUAAGAACUCCUCAUGAUUUUGGAUCAACCCUAGUGAAGGGAUCUUGAUCCAUGGCCGUCGAGCGGCAUACUAGCCCCACCUUAGCCCUUGGCGGUUACUAUUAGAUUUAGUCAAUUUUGAAUUCUCCUAAACCAUUUGCACCCUAGUUUAACCAUGAUAAGAUAAAAUUCACCUUGAUCGGAUUGAUCAAGGAGUCGGACAAUCCAGCUUGGUUAACCUUGUGAGAAUGUUGAAUUUAGAAUUUUUAAUAUAAUCCUGAUGAAAUUUUGAUGGGUAUAUAAUUUUUAAAUAUCAAGUUCUGAGAGAAAUUUUUGGAAUUAAUUGGAUCUAUAGCUUGAUUUUGCUUAUAAGGUAAGUAAUGCAACUCCUUUUUUCUAGAUUUAUUAGUAUUUUAUAAAAUAUUAUAUGUAUGGAAUUAUUCAUGAUUUAUGAAAUUGAUGCAUACUACAUUUAGUUAUCAAAUAUACCCUUGUCCAAAAUUUUAAAUGACUCAUGCUUGAAAGUAUUGAUCUCGAUACAGAUAGUGCCUGAGUUUUGAUUCGAGACAGAUUUGGACUCAUAGCUAGACUAUGUUUUAAUUUCCUGCCAAUAAGUGUUAUAUACUUGCACUUUGAUACCUUGUUAGUGGGGGUUGUAAGUGGUAUGCUAAUACUAUGGUCGUAAGAGUUAUGUGGUGGCACUUCAAUACCCUGCUAUUGAGAGUUAUGUCAUGGCACUUAGAUAUGGUCAUAGUUCAUGGCUGUCGAGAUGAACUUGAUGUUUUAAAAUUUUAUUUUAAAACGAUUAGAUAGUAUUUUAAAAUUUUGAAAUUGAUUUAUGAAUAAAAUUUUGAAAUGACUAGAUAGUAUUUAGAUUUGAUUUUGAAUUGAUGUACUAUGUAUGCUUAUUUUCAGCAUAUUAUUAAUUAUUUUAUUGCUUGAUCUAUCUAGCUUAAGUGUUUCUUGCUUACUGAUUUGUCUAGCUUAUUAUUAUAUAUUCUUCUAUUUUAAUAGAUUUGAAGAACUAGCUUGAUCUAGAGAUUUGUUAUAAGAGAGCGACUAGAGACAGAAUUUUGAUAUCUUUGGUUUAGAUUAAGAUUUUGUUAAAGUUUGAUGCAAAACUUUUAAAAUAUUGCUAGUUUCGCAUAACAAUUAAUUUUGAUUUAAUUAUUUUAAUUAAAGUUUGAAUGUUAAUUAUUUAAAUUUAUUCUGCUAUUUGUUUAUGAUAUUAUGUUGAGAUGCCUUGCAUGCUCGUGGGGAGAGUUUUUUUAUGAGUAUACAGCCGUUGCUGCGAUCUCUGGCUCAUGAUCUUGGAUUGGGGGUGCAACAAGUAAAGACUAUCCUUUUUCCAGCAUAGGUUCUAAAGUAUCUCUAUUCUUCGCUGGUGUUUAUUUCCAAUAAUAUAUAUGCCAUUGCUUUAGUGAUUGACAGGUGCUAGAACAGUGAUAUGGACAGAGUUGGGGAUAACAGGCAAUGCCUUUCCACUAAUGUGAAUUUUUGUAGGCACAUUUUGGUCCUAGAAAGUCACUUUUGAAACCUCCAAGCCCACCGUGUUUAGUUUGAAAUUCGAACAUAUUGUUCCUUGCAAAAAAGAAGAAGAAAGGAAUAUGAACAUUAUCUUAUAAACGAGAACAUCGUCUUAGCAUAGUAUGAUACCUACACUAAUGAAUGUUUCUUAUUAUGUUUAAGGUAAAACAAAGAAAAGUCAAUUUGGAUACCUACCACUAAUGAAUGGAAAGAAGUUAUGAGUUAAUUUCAUUAUAUUGCACCAACACCAUAAAGGACUGGAUGCUGACCUUCAUUACAUACUUGGCCUCCUCGGUAACUCUUUUCAUAACAAUACUUUUGUUAAUAACAAUUAACAAAAAUAUGAAGGCAAAAAAAUUAGAAACAUGAUGCAGAAUAAAACAACAUGGACUAAAAAUUUACCCUCCCUUCUAUAACCUUUUUUUUUUAUAUAUAUAUCGCAACCAUUAUAUUUAAGCAAUAAGGCGCAGAGAGAUGAGAUCAAAAUAUAUCGUUUCAAGAAAGAAGUAGAGGAAGCACAAAGGUAGAUUUUACCAACGAUAGAUCCUGUGCUAGCGAAGAUUUUUUUAUUGCAAUAAUUCAUUAGAGGUGUGUUGGGUUCAUGGCCGGAAUUUGAAUCGAAUCGAAGUAGAUUGAAAUAGGAAUCAAAGUUGGAAUUGAAAAAUUAAUUAAAUAGAGAGAGAUUUUUAAAAAAUCAAUUAAACAGAGGUCUACUUUUGGAAAAUUAUUUUUAAAGUAAACCUAAUGUAAUGGAAUUUGGAUAUUGAGAGAAUAGCCAGGAUUGGAUUUUGUGGGGAUUGGAGCAUCCAUAGAAUGGAAAUGGAAAUAGGACUCCCCCCAAAUUUCCAACCAAAUGGUUGGAGUGGGAGUAAUUUAUUCAUAUUUCCAAUUUAAGAGCCCAACUAUUCCCAACCAAUUUUAUCCAAGAAAAAAUGAACAAAAUUAGACAGUGCAGGACAAAAAAGAAUACAGAGCAAGAGCUCCCAUUACUCCUUUUUUAUGAUAUUUCCUUGUCCAAGCAAUUACAUAAUAUGAAAGUUUGCGACAAACUUGAAGGACAGUGGACUAGCUGUUGCCAAACACCCUGACAUCAAUAUUUAUGCGCCGAAGAAGCUUAUGAGGAUCUUGUUUAGAUGGACAUGACAAUUAUAAAGGGACCCACACAAUUGAAGAUUGAGGAAAUGGGAUAUGGAAAAUAGUUUCCAUGUUGAGAUGAGAACUAUGCGAGGCAAAAUGGAUCGUCCUAUUUCGGCAUAAAGUCUCCCAAUUUUGGCCAAGGAGACCUCGGCCCCGCCGAGAGCCAGGCAGACCUCGGCCUCGCCAAAGGCCGAGCCAACUUCCACCAGAGGUCACAACCGACCUCGUCAAGCACAUGUCGUGGUCUCCAAGCCUGCUUGACCUCACCCGCAGUCGAACCUGCGCGCACAUCCACGCCUGCACACAUGGACGAAUAUCCCAACCUGGCCAGCCCCUUGCUUGCUGGCCACGCCAUAACGCAUCAACCAAUGGCCAUGCCCUGUCACACCCAUCAAGGAUCAUACCCUGCCACACCUGCCAAGGGUCAUAUCCUGCCGCACCCGCCGACAUGCCAUGCCCUGUCACACCCAUCAAGGGUCAUACCUGCCAUGCCUGUCAAGGGUUAUAUCCUGCUGCACCCACCGACACGCCAUCUCCAGUUAUUGGCCAACUGAUCGCAUCUCAGCCCAAAAUUUUAGGUAACAACCGCUACCCUCACCCUAUCAAAAAGGGGUAGGGAAAGACCCUCGAUAAGCUUUUACAGGCAUUCUUAAGCUUCUACAAGCUAUUUUGAGCUAAAAGAGGCCAUCAAAGGCACUCAGAAAGAUCAUCUCCACAAAAGGCCUGACUAACUUAGCCAUCGGAGGGCCUUCGCCGGAAUCUCCGGCCAAGGCUUUGUGCAGGCAUCCCAGAGUGCAGGGAGGUGGCCAUCUUGCUCCUUUUCGGACGGCAUUUUCUCGAAGGUACCCCGGACCACCGGAGGCAGCCCUCUUUCUCCAUCCCCGGCUGACGUCUCCUCGGCUCCCUUCCGGCGUGGUUGCCCUUAGGCUAAAUUUCAACCACAACAUCUGGCGCUAGAGAAAGGGCUUGAGUCGUGAUUAUGAGAUUAAGAAAUCGAGGAGCUCCUAAUGCAUUGAGGCACCAGGUACCAACUUCCGGCAACUCGUUUUAAAGCCCACUACUUGCGGCACUGACGGACCAAGUUUCUUAGGUCCCGCUAGAGUAGUACAGUCUGCUCGUCUAGCAGGUCCAGACAAUCACUGCGGCCGUUCAAGGCCUACAGCAGGCGGAAGCCCAGCUUGCAUCUCCUCCUCGCAGGUGCGGGUCCAUAAGAUGGCGCUUGCGGUGUGAUUCCCCAGGCAAGCAGGGCACGAGAGUCCACGAAAGAGAGCAUCGCCACUACCAAAGCUCCCAGAGGCUCGAACCUGAACAUGGGAACAACCAUCGGAGGCAGGUCCACCCCAAGCUGAGCUCAACCUGAAAAAAGAAGAGGCUCCUGGAUAGCCUCGGAUCUUACAUCUUGAUGGCUCAUCAACCUCGGGAGACAGCGGCAUAUGCCUUGCCCAUGCCAGCCCAGAAGUAAUUUGCGGGAGCCACCAAAUCUGUAAUGAUGCCCCGGAGCCGAGCUUGGGGCACUCUGCAGUGUCGACCGCAAGCCCAAGAGCUCCCUCACCUGCACGUAUAAUGACGUUCUGGUCCGAUCUUCGGGGCGCCCUGCCGAGUUGACCGUGAGCCCAAGGGCUCCCUCGACCAUAGGAAAAGACAUUCCGGCUAGAUGAUAGGGCGCCCUGCAGUGUCGACCGCGAGCCCAAGAGCUUCCUCGAUCGCAGGUAUAAGGACGUCCCGAUUCGAGCUCCAGGGCAUCCUGUAGUGUCGACAGCAAGCCCAAGAGCUCCAUCGACCGUAGGUAAAAUGACGUUCGGUUCGAGCUCUGGGGCGCCCUGCCGAUUCGAUCGCGAGCCCAAGAGCUCCCUCAACCUCAAGUAUAAUGAUGUCCUGGUCCGAGCUCCGGAGUGUCCUGCUGAGUUGACCGCGAGCCCAAGGGCUCCCUCGACCGCAAGAAAAGACAUCCCGGCCAGAGGAUGGGGCGUCCUGCAGUGUCGACCGCGAGCCUAAGAGCUCCCUCGACCGCAUAUAUAAUAACAUCCCUGUUCGAGCUCCAGGGCACCCUGCUGAGUCGACUACGAGCCCAAGGGCUCCCUCAACCGCAGGAAAAGACGUCCCGGCCAGAAGGCGGGGUGCCCUGUAGUGUUGAUCACGAGCCCAAGGGCUCCGUCGACCAUAGAAAAAGAUGUCCCGGCUAGAGGGCGAGGCGCCGUACAGUGUCGACUGUGAUCCCAAAAGCUCCCUCGACCGUAGGUAUAAUGACGUCCCGGUCCGAGCUUUGGGGCACCUUGCCGAGGUGACCGCGAGCCCAAGAGCUCCCUAGACCAUAGGUAUAAUGACAUUCUGGUCUAAGCUUCGGGGCGCCCUGCCGAGUCCCUCAACCAUAGGAAAAGACGUCCUGGCUAGAGGGCGGGAAGCCCUGUAGUGUUGACCGUGAGCCCAAGGGCUCCCUCGACUGCAGGUAUAUAUGACGACGGAAUCUACAAUGACGCCCUGAGCCCAAGCUCGGGGUGCCCUGCAGUGUUGACUGCGAGCCCAAGGGCUUCCUCGACCAUGCUCGGGGUGCCCUGCAGUGUCGACCACGAGCCUAAGGGCUUCCUCGACCGCAGGUAUCUACGAUGAUGGAAUCUACAAUGAUGCCUCAGGCCCGAGCUCGGAGUGCCCUGCAGUGUCGACCGCGAGCCCAAGGGCUCCCUCAACCGUAGGUAUCUACGAUGACAGAAUCUACAAUGACGCCCUGAGCCCGAGCUCAAGGUGCCCUGUAGUGUCGACCGCGAGCCAAAAAUGCUCCUCCAACCUUAGAAAAAACUUAAGGGCAUCUCGACCUUGGUUCACUUGCCCAAGUUAAAGCCUAAAAAGAUCUACAAGGUCAAAAGGCACCAAAAUUCACAACGACCUUGUACCAAAAAAAUACUCUGGUAAACUACGGUGAAAGUUAAAUGAGGUUCGAGCUCAAAGGCCUGAAGCAGAUCUGAUGUCCGACCUCGACACCUAAAGCGCGCCAGUGGAUGAGCUCGAAGGCAAUGAGCUCUUCACCAAUUUUGUAAGACUAUUCUAGGUUUAAGUUGGAAACAAAUGCCAAGCGCAAAAAUCCAACACAAGACGUGAAGCAAGACGAGCUCAAACACUGAGAGAAAAAGUGUACUUAGAGAAAAAGUAUGCUUUAUUGAUGUUAAAAGGCCGAAGGCCGAGUACAAAAGAUAUCAACCUUGAGGCCGGAUUGAAUUCAAAAGAGGUCGAUUAUAAAAAGGCCUAAAUGGCCGACCUCACAAGUAUAAAAAAAAAAGCGAGAGAAGAAAGAAAAAAGAAAAUAAAGGGCAAAGCUCAAACAGCUGGGGCGGCAUCUGUCUUGACCUCGGCAGCGGCUUCAGCUCUAGCCUCAGCAACAUCACCAUCCACUACAUCGGCGACGGGCUCGUGGGCCUCAGCGAGCUCGCUCACUUCAGGAGCGACCGCUACCUCGGCGGCCCUAGACAGAAAUAGAUGGAGAUUGUUGAAGUCGACCUCGGGGCAAAGUUGCUGUGCCUGAUCUUGGCAGUUCUCAAAGCUUCGGAUUAAGCCAUCAGUCGCCCCCUCCGCUAGUUUGUCCAGAUACUCCUCGGACUGGCGGUAGCUUUGGAUCGCCUCCCGAAUCCGCUCCUCGGCCAACUUCUCAAGCUGCUCGGCCUUCAGCCUCAAAAUUCCGGCUCGUGCUUGNNNNNNNNNNNNNNNNNNNNNNNNNNNNNNNNNNNNNNNNNNNNNNNNNNNNNNNNNNNNNNNNNNNNNNNNNNNNNNNNNNNNNNNNNNNNNNNNNNNNNNNNNNNNNNNNNNNNNNNNNNNNNNNNNNNNNNNNNNNNNNNNNNNNNNNNNNNNNNNNNNNNNNNNNNNNNNNNNNNNNNNNNNNNNNNNNNNNNNNNNNNNNNNNNNNNNNNNNNNNNNNNNNNNNNNNNNNNNNNNNNNNNNNNNNNNNNNNNNNNNNNNNNNNNNNNNNNNNNNNNNNNNNNNNNNNNNNNNNNNNNNNNNNNNNNNNNNNNNNNNNNNNNNNNNNNNNNNNNNNNNNNNNNNNNNNNNNNNNNNNNNNNNNNNNNNNNNNNNNNNNNNNNNNNNNNNNNNNNNNNNNNNNNNNNNNNNNNNNNNNNNNNNNNNNNNNNNNNNNNNNNNNNNNNNNNNNNNNNNNNNNNNNNNNNNNNNNNNNNNNNNNNNNNNNNNNNNNNNNNNNNNNNNNNNNNNNNNNNNNNNNNNNNNNNNNNNNNNNNNNNNNNNNNNNNNNNNNNNNNNNNNNNNNNNNNNNNNNNNNNNNNNNNNNNNNNNNNNNNNNNNNNNNNNNNNNNNNNNNNNNNNNNNNNNNNNNNNNNNNNNNNNNNNNNNNNNNNNNNNNNNNNNNNNNNNNNNNNNNNNNNNNNNNNNNNNNNNNNNNNNNNNNNNNNNNNNNNNNNNNNNNNNNNNNNNNNNNNNNNNNNNNNNNNNNNNNNNNNNNNNNNNNNNNNNNNNNNNNNNNNNNNNNNNNNNNNNNNNNNNNNNNNNNNNNNNNNNNNNNNNNNNNNNNNNNNNNNNNNNNNNNNNNNNNNNNNNNNNNNNNNNNNNNNNNNNNNNNNNNNNNNNNNNNNNNNNNNNNNNNNNNNNNNNNNNNNNNNNNNNNNNNNNNNNNNNNNNNNNNNNNNNNNNNNNNNNNNNNNNNNNNAUGGCGGAGAGAGGUGCCGACUGAUGAAGUGGCGGAGGAUCUGGUCGCUCCGGAUGCGCCACGGGCGGAAGACGGGGUGACGAUGCUGGGAUUUCGACGCGGCUGGGUCGCUGAUCUUGGAGGAGAAGACGCCGCACGCAGUUGAUGGCGGAGGACUCGGGGACGACGACGACGUUGGGGCAUUCGGCAGGGACGAGCUCCUUUGAUCGCACGGAGGAGGAUUGCAUCGCGGGAGAGGAGGAAGAGGCGCCGCAGGAUCUGGUCGGUGAUGGCGGAGAGAGGUGGCCGACUGCGGGAGGAAGAAGAUAAACAGUGGAUUCCCAAUUUUUUUAUUUAUUAUGUAUUAUUUAUUUUUUUCUCUAACACUGUUCACAUGAACAGUGUUUUCACGAACACUGUUCAUAUGAACAGUAUUUUCGGCAUUUUUUUGGUUUUUUAUUUUGGAUUAAUUGUAUUUUAAUUUAUUCUUGAAUUAACAUGCAAAUUGGCUAUAAGCCUAAUAAGGAUUCAAAUAGAAAUUCACAAAAACAAUUUGAAAAUAAUCCAUCUUCAGUUGGCAUGAAAUGUCUGUCCUAAUCUAAGAUGGUAGCACACCGCAUCUUCAUUAAGCAUGGACUAUCUUAUAUUUACUUAGUGAUCAUGAAGAAUAAUUGCAUAAACGUCAUACUUAAAAUCAUAGAAAUUAAAUAUGAGAUGAAAUAGAAUAUUCAUUAAGAACAAAAUAAAGUUUAUACAACUUCAAGAAUAGAAAUCAAAGAUACAAAACCUUUGGCUCAUUGUUAGGGCUGUAUCCAGCCCUAGUCAAGAGAUCAAGCUUCCAUGGAGUGGUGGACAGCAGCAGCAGUGCAAAAGACUCCCAUCAUAACUGCCUUCUUUCUGUGAAAAGUUCUUCCCACAAUACCCAAAGUACUCUCCCUCCUUGGCUUCUGUGGGAUUCGGCCUGAGAAAGCUUGGGUGAGAAAGCUGCUCCUCUCCUUCACGUCCUGACUCCUUUUUAUAGGCUGCCUACCUCCCUCUCUCCUCCCCUAUUCUGAGUGAGAAGAUAAGAACACAGGAUGCACGUGGGAUAUCUUGGAGAUUUGCUGGGAUUGGAGCUUAUCCGGGAGAAGAUCUUUGGAUUCAAUCUGGAACCGUAGCUCUGUUUCGCUGAUGGGAGCUUUGGAUGAACUUUGUUCCGCUGGGAGGAUAAUGCGGAAGGAUGGAGCUAAUACAUUUCUUCAACGCAGAGGGGACGCGGAUGGCUGAAAGUGAGCUGAGCUGGAACCAAUCCUAUAGAAAUUCUGGGGAGUGAUCUAUUCUGAAAGAGGAGCUGAUGCCGUUUGGGAAUGAUCCGGAAGACUUUUGAGUUGGAUCUGUGGGUGAGUAGCUGGGAGAAUGGAAUCGGAUCCAUGCGGACGUGGACGUGAUCUGGAAGAAGGUGAUGCUGCUUCAAUCGUGGAGGGCUCUGUUGAUGGAUAGGGAGAUCACUUGCGGUUGGUUGGGGUUAAUCCGGAAUGCUGAGUAGAGGAAAAUCCAUCGUGGGUGGAAGCUGAUUGCAAACGAGAUUGGCUGCAGGAUGCUUGGAUUGGUUUGAGUCAAUCUGGCAUGCCGGGAUGCAUGGGAGAAAUUCGGAAGAAGAGAACCAUGGACGUGGGAUGAAGAUGGAGUUAAUCCGGAAUGGGAGGGAUUCUGGAUUUGGCUGGGUUUGAAUGUUUGAUUUCCUUCGGCUGGGAAGAAUCCUUCGGCUGGGAACAGGGGAUGAUGCAGUUGGGAUGAUGUUCACGGUUGGGAGGAGAUGGGAUGCUGGGAUUCUAUUCGUGAACGGGAGGAAUCCGGAACAAGAGGAAGGUUGGAUUCUGCUGGGAGUUUGGUUGGAUUUGUGAACGAGAUAGAUCACGAACAGGAUGAGAGCUGGUUUAGGAAAGUUGCUCGAUCUGAUCCUGGCAUUGGGGGAGAUCUCACAGACGGCUGGAACACAUGGAUGAAGCGGACGAAUGAGGGACCGUUGAGAGCGAGCUCUGUUUUGAGGUGGGGAUGGAUUACGUGGAAGAA
rnacentral:lncRNA from 1 species